rnacentral:tRNA from 1 species
UUCCCAGUGGCGCAAUUGGUUAGCGCGCGGUACUUAUAAUGCCGAGGUUGUGAGUUUCGAGCCUUACGUGGAAAA